GUCCAAGGCGUUGCGGAGAUGGUUAAAAAAGUUGGCUGCAGAAUACAGAUUCUGGGAAGACACGGGAGGGAGAGGAGGAGCUGGUUCAGGAGAGGGGGCAGCAGGGCAGCUGAAGACCCCCCGCUGGUUCUGCCCCCAGGACUUCUUCUUCCUCUGCCUUCUUCCUCUGACCAGCUCAUCAUGUCAGAAUCUGAGCAGUUGGUUCCUCGUUACUAUCAGAGAUGGGCCAGCCAGAAGCCUGGAACCUUCAGCCGGAGCUUCCGUUUAGGAGUGAACGUGCGGGUCCCCCCUUCCCACUGCCGGGGUUCACAGUUUCUCCGCUUCCCGAGUUCUCAGGAAUUGUAAGAGGGGACUAGAAACCCCAUUCCUGCCACCUGCUACCUCACAGCCACUGGGACACGGAGCAUAUUAUUCCAGGCCAGUGGAUUUUGAGAACACCGUGUUUGCAUCCAGCCCACCAGCAUGGACUUCCAAAGGAUAGGCCAUGAAUCAAAGUCAUGGCUCUUCUUCAUUCAAGGAAUUGCUAGGGAUGAAGACAACUCUUUCAGAUGAGGGUAGUUGAGUCUGGGGCUUGGCAGCCCCAGGUGAUGGAGAGAAAGAAGCCAGAAGAAACUUUCCAUCUGAAUUCACUGGGCGGAAGACGGGAGGAGGCAAGCAUGUGGAGUGGCUGUAAAACGUCUUCGCACUCUGCCCUCUCCUGGCUGGCCUUGUUUGGAAUUCUGAGCUAAUUGCCAAGGACUGUGAAAUACACAUAAACUCGAACUUCACUGGAAAAGAAAAAAACUGAAGAACAUCCACCCACACCCAACCACUCACCUCACCCGCUCUGAGCUUUUUCUACCUCUGGUCUGGAAUGCCCUUUCUCAUCUGAUGGCUCAUCUAUCAACUCCCACCUUCUCUAGGAGCUUUCUUUAGCGACCAGGAUCUCACUUUCAAGCCGCUCAUGCCCAUGGAGCUCAAGCAUUUGCGGAUACUUCCCAUCCACCCCCUCGCCCACCCGGCUCAGUGCCAGGUCUGGUGCAGGCACCCGGGAGGGCUCCAGGCUGGUGAGUCUGUCUUAGUCCUCUCCUUCUGAAGUGGUGUGUUGCAUUUCAGAGUUUUCUGGACAGACGUGGACAUAUAUGUGAAGGCAGAGACGUGAGCACAGAAUGACAUGAACAAAUACAUAGAGAUAGCAAACAGACGGAGAUCUCCACGUAUGCACAGACAUGUAAACAGGCAGGUGAAGACUCAGAGGUUUGGAGCUUUUCAGGUGCAUUUCAUGUUGAAUUUGCUGACCCAGGAGUCUGACAAGAACCCUGGUUUUCUUCUUCUGUACAAUUAAAGAAAAAAAAAGUUGUCAACAAUAAAAUAUCCUCUCUAU